UGAGUAAUACAUAUGAACAGUGUCCUGUAUUGGGGGAUAUCCCGGCGAAAGCCGGAUUAAUACCGCAUACGCUCUACGGAGGAAAGGGGGGGAUCUUAUGACCUCCCGCUACAGGGGCGGCCGAUGGCAGAUUAUCUAUUUGGUGGGGUAAAGGCCUACCCAGGCGACAAUCUGUAUCUGGUCUGAGAGGACGACCAGCCCCACUGGGACUGAGACACAGCCCACACUCCUACUGGAGGCAGCAGUGGGGAAUUUUGGACAAUGGGCGAAAGCCUGAUCCACCAAUGCCCCGUGUGUGAAGAAAGCCUUCGGGUUGUAAAGCACUUUUGUCCGGAAAGAAAACCUCCGCCCUAAUAUGGUGGGGGGAUGACGGUACCGGAAGAAUAAUCACCGGCUAACUACUUGUCAGCACCCGCGGUAAUACUUAUGGUGCAAGCGUUAAUCGUAAUUACUGGGCGUAAAGCGUGCGCACGCGGUCCGCUGAUACAAAUGUGAAAUCCCCGGGCUUAUCCUGGGAACUGCAUUUGUGACUGGCGGGCUAUAGUAUGGCAGAGGGGGGUAGAAUUCCACGUGUAGCAGUGAAAUGCGUAGAGAUGUGGAGGAAUACCAAUGGCGAAGGCAGCCCCCU
rnacentral:rRNA from 1 species